rnacentral:rRNA from 1 species
ACUGAAUAGAUACCCUGGUAGUCCACGCCCUAAACGAUGUCAACUAGGUGUGGGGGGAGACUUCCUUAGUACCGCAGCUAAACGCGUGAAGUUGACCGCCUGGGGAGUACGGUCGCAAGAUUAAAACUCAAAGGAAUUGACGGGGACCCGCACAAGCGGUGGAUUAUGUGGAUUAAUUCGAUGCAACGCGAAAAACCUUACCUACCCUUGACAUGCCAGGAACUUGCCAGAGAUGGCUUGGUGCCCGAAAGGGAACCUGGACACAGGUGCUGCAUGGCUGUCGUCAGCUCGUGUCGUGAGAUGUUGGGUUAAGUCCCGCAACGAGCGCAACCCUUGUCAUUAAUUGCCAUCAUUCAGUUGGGCACUUUAAUGAGACUGCCGGUGAC